UGAGGAAUAUUGGUCAAUGGGCGAGAGCGUGAACCAGCCAAGUCGCGUGCAGGAUGACUGUCUUAUGGAUUGUAAACUUCUUUUAUACGGGAAUAACAAGAGUCACGUGUGGCUCCCUGCAUGUACCGUAUGAAUAAGCAUCGGGCAAUUCCGUGCCAGCAGCCGCGGUAAUACGGACGAUGCGAGCGUUAUCCGGAUUUAUUGGGUUUAAAGGGUGCGUAGGCGGCCUGUUAAGUCAGCGGUGAAAUCUAGGAGCUUAACUCCUAAAUUGCCAUUGAUACUGGCGGCCUUUUACAAAGAUGAGGUAGGCGGAAUGCGUGGUGUAGCGGUGGAAUGCAUAGAUAUUACGCAGAACUCCGAUUGCGAAGGCAGCUUACUAAGGUACAACUGACGCUGAAGCACGAAAGCGUGGGUAUCAAACAGGAUUAGAUACCCUGGUAGUCCACGCAGUAAACGAUGAUAACUGGGCGUAUGCNAUAUACAGUAUGCUCCUAAGCGAAAGCGUUAAGUUAUCCACCUGGGGAGUACGCCGGCAACGGUG
rnacentral:rRNA from 1 species